UUGUUACAUGGUUAUAAUCAUUGUUGUGUUGUGCGUCAUUCAUAUGAACUAAUGGGACCCACAAGGGGUCGGAUCCACAAGGGAUCAAAGAGCUGAACGGCCCACAAGGGGUCAGGUCCACAAGGGACCGAGACUAGUCUCACAAGAUGUCAGCUAAGUGAAAAAUUAUAAGAGUUCAACAUGUUAUGAUUCAUUACACAAUUGGUA
rnacentral:lncRNA from 1 species